GGGUUGUGAGGUUAAGCGACUAAGCGUACACGGUGGAUGCCCUGGCAGUCAGAGGCGAUGAAGGACGUGCUAAUCUGCGAUAAGCGUCGGUAAGGUGAUAUGAACCGUUAUAACCGGCGAUUUCCGAAUGGGGAAACCCAGUGUGUUUCGACACACUAUCAUUAACUGAAUCCAUAGGUUAAUGAGGCGAACCGGGGGAACUGAAACAUCUAAGUACCCCGAGGAAAAGAAAUCAACCGAGAUUCCCCCAGUAGCGGCGAGCGAACGGGGAGCAGCCCAGAGCCUGAAUCAGUGUGUGUGUUAGUGGAAGCGUCUGGAAAGGCGCGCGAUACAGGGUGACAGCCCCGUACACAAAAAUGCACAUGCUGUGAGCUCGAUGAGUAGGGCGGGACACGUGGUAUCCUGUCUGAAUAUGGGGGGACCAUCCUCCAAGGCUAAAUACUCCUGACUGACCGAUAGUGAACCAGUACCGUGAGGGAAAGGCGAAAAGAACCCCGGCGAGGGGAGUGAAAAAGAACCUGAAACCGUGUACGUACAAGCAGUGGGAGCACGCUUCGGCGUGUGACUGCGUACCUUUUGUAUAAUGGGUCAGCGACUUAUAUUCUGUAGCAAGGUUAACCGAAUAGGGGAGCCGAAGGGAAACCGAGUCUUAACUGGGCGUUAAGUUGCAGGGUAUAGACCCGAAACCCGGUGAUCUAGCCAUGGGCAGGUUGAAGGUUGGGUAACACUAACUGGAGGACCGAACCGACUAAUGUUGAAAAAUUAGCGGAUGACUUGUGGCUGGGGGUGAAAGGCCAAUCAAACCGGGAGAUAGCUGGUUCUCCCCGAAAGCUAUUUAGGUAGCGCCUCGUGAAUUCAUCUCCGGGGGUAGAGCACUGUUUCGGCAAGGGGGUCAUCCCGACUUACCAACCCGAUGCAAACUGCGAAUACCGGAGAAUGUUAUCACGGGAGACACACGGCGGGUGCUAACGUCCGUCGUGAAGAGGGAAACAACCCAGACCGCCAGCUAAGGUCCCAAAGUCAUGGUUAAGUGGGAAACGAUGUGGGAAGGCCCAGACAGCCAGGAUGUUGGCUUAGAAGCAGCCAUCAUUUAAAGAAAGCGUAAUAGCUCACUGGUCGAGUCGGCCUGCGCGGAAGAUGUAACGGGGCUAAACCAUGCACCGAAGCUGCGGCAGCGACACUAUGUGUUGUUGGGUAGGGGAGCGUUCUGUAAGCCUGUGAAGGUGUACUGUGAGGUAUGCUGGAGGUAUCAGAAGUGCGAAUGCUGACAUAAGUAACGAUAAAGCGGGUGAAAAGCCCGCUCGCCGGAAGACCAAGGGUUCCUGUCCAACGUUAAUCGGGGCAGGGUGAGUCGACCCCUAAGGCGAGGCCGAAAGGCGUAGUCGAUGGGAAACAGGUUAAUAUUCCUGUACUUGGUGUUACUGCGAAGGGGGGACGGAGAAGGCUAUGUUGGCCGGGCGACGGUUGUCCCGGUUUAAGCGUGUAGGCUGGUUUUCCAGGCAAAUCCGGAAAAUCAAGGCUGAGGCGUGAUGACGAGGCACUACGGUGCUGAAGCAACAAAUGCCCUGCUUCCAGGAAAAGCCUCUAAGCAUCAGGUAACAUCAAAUCGUACCCCAAACCGACACAGGUGGUCAGGUAGAGAAUACCAAGGCGCUUGAGAGAACUCGGGUGAAGGAACUAGGCAAAAUGGUGCCGUAACUUCGGGAGAAGGCACGCUGAUAUGUAGGUGAGGUCCCUCGCGGAUGGAGCUGAAAUCAGUCGAAGAUACCAGCUGGCUGCAACUGUUUAUUAAAAACACAGCACUGUGCAAACACGAAAGUGGACGUAUACGGUGUGACGCCUGCCCGGUGCCGGAAGGUUAAUUGAUGGGGUCAGCGCAAGCGAAGCUCUUGAUCGAAGCCCCGGUAAACGGCGGCCGUAACUAUAACGGUCCUAAGGUAGCGAAAUUCCUUGUCGGGUAAGUUCCGACCUGCACGAAUGGCGUAAUGAUGGCCAGGCUGUCUCCACCCGAGACUCAGUGAAAUUGAACUCGCUGUGAAGAUGCAGUGUACCCGCGGCAAGACGGAAAGACCCCGUGAACCUUUACUAUAGCUUGACACUGAACAUUGAGCCUUGAUGUGUAGGAUAGGUGGGAGGCUUUGAAGUGUGGACGCCAGUCUGCAUGGAGCCGACCUUGAAAUACCACCCUUUAAUGUUUGAUGUUCUAACGUUGACCCGUAAUCCGGGUUGCGGACAGUGUCUGGUGGGUAGUUUGACUGGGGCGGUCUCCUCCUAAAGAGUAACGGAGGAGCACGAAGGUUGGCUAAUCCUGGUCGGACAUCAGGAGGUUAGUGCAAUGGCAUAAGCCAGCUUGACUGCGAGCGUGACGGCGCGAGCAGGUGCGAAAGCAGGUCAUAGUGAUCCGGUGGUUCUGAAUGGAAGGGCCAUCGCUCAACGGAUAAAAGGUACUCCGGGGAUAACAGGCUGAUACCGCCCAAGAGUUCAUAUCGACGGCGGUGUUUGGCACCUCGAUGUCGGCUCAUCACAUCCUGGGGCUGAAGUAGGUCCCAAGGGUAUGGCUGUUCGCCAUUUAAAGUGGUACGCGAGCUGGGUUUAGAACGUCGUGAGACAGUUCGGUCCCUAUCUGCCGUGGGCGCUGGAGAACUGAGGGGGGCUGCUCCUAGUACGAGAGGACCGGAGUGGACGCAUCACUGGUGUUCGGGUUGUCAUGCCAAUGGCACUGCCCGGUAGCUAAAUGCGGAAGAGAUAAGUGCUGAAAGCAUCUAAGCACGAAACUUGCCCCGAGAUGAGUUCUCCCUGACUCCUUGAGAGUCCUGAAGGAACGUUGAAGACGACGACGUUGAUAGGCCGGGUGUGUAAGCGCAGCGAUGCGUUGAGCUAACCGGUACUAAUGAACCGUGAGGCUUAACCUUACAACGCCGAAG
rnacentral:rRNA from 1 species